AUUCUUAUAUUAGAUAACAUUGUAAUUAAUAAUUAAUUCGUGUACAAGUAGUUUUCUUUUUUUCUUUUUUAAAAAAAGAUAGAAUACUAUCUGCUUUGUUUAUUUUAUUUAUAAAUAAAUUUAGUUGAAAAUGUGAAUCAAUUAGGAUAUAUUCGAACUUAGGAGCUGGAUACCAACCGUCGAGUCCUUUGCUAUUUGUACUAGGAACUUUCGGUAUAAAUAGUUUACUGUUGUUCAUAGAAUGCUUGUGUUAUAUAUAAUAAGUUCAUCAUUAUCUCUUGAACUCUUUUUCAUUUGUUCAAAAUCACGGGAUAAAGUAGAAUUAUUGCGUGUUUAUGGAGUAAUUCGUCUCGACCAAGUAGUUUAAGUGAUUUUUUUUUUUUUGAAAAAAGUUUAUAUCUUCGAACAAGGGAUGGAACAGUACAAAAUUUAUAGUAAAAAACUCAAAAGGAUUUUGUACCCUCAACAAACAGUCUUUUUGAGUUGAAAGAGCGUACACACUACAAAAGAGUUCCUCUAAUGCCUUUAAUUCCAACCUCAAAGCAAUUAAUUAAAAGCACUUUAAAAAAUUAAAAAAUUAAUAGAGAUUCCAAAGCCGCCCAAAAGAUAUUAUAGCCGCAGCCAAAACAUGAACUUUAUUAAAUGCAUGCCCACCAUGCCGCCCAAAACACAACACGUAAAAUUUAGUUUGGAAUUAAGAUCCACGUUAUUAGAAAAAAUAAAAUAAAAAUAAAAAUAUUUAAAAAUAUAUUUUUACGUUUUUCGAUGGAACUGAAAAAAAUAUAAUAUAAUCGACUUAUAAUAAUAUACGAAAAUAAAUAAAAUAUUUUUUUAUUGUAUUUUUUUUUCACACGUAACCCAAUCUUUCUGUAAUUCUAAGACUUAGUUUGAUAUUGAGUUCUAUCUAACGCUAUUAAAUAAAAUAGAGUUGAAGAAAAAGAUUAUAGGAAUAUGCUUAUGUAUUUUGCAGUGGGACAGCAGAAAAUAUAUCGUCAGCAGAAAAUAUAUCGUAACCGACUCAUCGUGCUGAACGCAAUAUUACGUACGAAAACAAAUAUAAUAUUUUACCAACAUAUUUUCUCAUCGCACGUAACGCAAUCUUCCCGCAAUCCCAAACCAACCCUAAAAAUAAAGUCUAAGUUUUGAAGCGGAGAAGCGCUUCUCGAACCCGCGCUUUUGCUGCUGCUGCUGCUGCUGUUGUUGGUGUUGGUGCAUCGCGAUUGCUUCCUCGACCCGAGCAUUUCCUGAAACCGUUCCAAAAACUACCAAACAAACACUCGCCGCGGAACGAGGCGCCAUUCCUCGCCCCGAUUAAUCGGUACCUCCCCAGUCUCCUCGUCCUCCACCCUCGCUUCGAGUUUCUCACUCUCACUCGCCGGGGAACGCUCGCGUGGACCAGGUCCACCACUUCAGCAUUGGACGGUUCAUGCAGUAGCUUUAUGUAAAAGUACAGAUAUUUCAGAUAAUAAUUAAUUAAUAAUAAUAACUAACAAAAGUUUACGGACUUGUUAGGACACAUGAAUAUUUUAUUAUGUUUAUUUUUUAAAUUUAUUUAAAAAAUUUAUACACAUCACGCGGUUGAUGGAAAGUGCGAUAAGAUAUUUAUAAUAAAAUAUAUACCGCAAAGUGCGAUAGAAUAUUUAUAAUAAAAUAUAUACCGCUAUCUAUCGAGUCAUCUUUUAGAAUAAAAUAGAUUAUUUCGUAAAGAAAAUAUACUGUACUACCAAAUUAUGUAUAAUAGUAAAUUUUAAAAUAGUAAAAAAGUCAAACUCCUUAAUUACAAUCAUAUUAAAAAUUUUUCAUGCCAUAUAUAUUUUUUAAAAAUUUAACCUAUUUUAACAUUCAAAAAAGUACAUAUUAUACUAAGGGUGCGUUUGGUUCGCAUAAUAAAAGAUUACUAGGAAUAAAAGAUAUCCGAGAAUCUUAUUUCUAUUAAUCCUAUUACUAAGAAUGUGGAAUUCCUGUGUUUGGUUCGCACGGUAAUAUUAAUUAGCCAUAUUAUUUAAUAUUACAAAAAAUAUACAAUUAAUUAAUUUAUUUAUUUAAUUAAUUUUAGAUAAUGUUAUCAAAAGUUUGNUCCCUCAAGGGAAUGAGAUUAGUAUUUUGGAGUGAAUCUUAUUCCCAAGUGAAUCCGAUAUUACCAACUAGAUUACUUAGUGCGUUUAGCCAAACACCGUCAUAUUUUUUUAUUCCCAUUGGAUUACUAGAAAUCUUUAAAAGAUAGCGCGAACCAAACGCACCCUAAAUUAUAAGGAUAUAUAUCAUUUAAAGUUGAAUAUUAUAUUAUG
rnacentral:lncRNA from 1 species